rnacentral:rRNA from 1 species
UACGUAGGGGGCAAGCGUUGUCCGGAUUUAUUGGGCGUAAAGAGCGUGUAGGCGGCCAGACAGGUCCGUUGUGAAAACUCGAGGCUCAACCUCGAGACGUCGACGGAAACCGUCUGGCUAGAGUCCGGAAGAGGAGUGUGGAAUUCCGUGGUGUAGCGGUGAAAUGCGCAGAUAUCAGGAAGAACACCUAUGGCGAAGGCAGCACUCUGGGACGGUACUGACGCUGAGACGCGAAAGCGUGGGGAGCGAACAGG